GCAUUAAUGGGGUAGUGGUAACCUGGGUCGUUGCCAUCCUCCACGGUAGGCUCCUUAAGCUCGACCCGCCGGGGGUUCGAUUCCCUCUUAAUGCA